GAUGAACGCUGGCGGCGUGCCUAACACAUGCAAGUCGAGCGGGGGUUAUUGAGAGCUUGCUUUCAAUAACCUUAGCGGCGGACGGGUGAGGAACACGUGGGUAAUCUGCCCUUUGCAGAGGGAUAACGUCAAGAAAUUGACGCUAAUACCUCAUAAGCUCCCGGCACGGCAUCGUGGCGAGAGAAAAGAUUUAUCGGCAAAGGAGGAGCCCGCGGCUGAUUAGCUAGUUGGGGAGGUAACGGCUCACCAAGGCGACGAUCAGUAGCCGACCUGAGAGGGUGAUCGGCCACAUUGGAACUGAGACACGGUCCAA
rnacentral:rRNA from 1 species